rnacentral:rRNA from 1 species
AACGAACGCUGGCGGCAUGCUUAACACAUGCAAGUCGAACGAGACCUUCGGGUCUAGUGGCGCACGGGUGCGUAACGCGUGGGAAUCUGCCCUUUGCUACGGAAUAACUCAGAGAAAUUUGUGCUAAUACCGUAUGAGGUCGCAAGACCAAAGAUUUAUCGGCAAAGGAUGAGCCCGCGUAGGAUUAGCUUGUUGGUGAGGUAAAAGCUCACCAAGGCGACGAUCCUUAGCUGGUCUGAGAGGAUGAGCAGCCACACUGGGACGGAGACACGGCCCAGACUCCUGCGGGAGGCAGCAGUGGGGAAUAUUGGACAAUGGGCGAAAGCCUGAUCCAGCAAUGCCGCGUGAGUGAUGAAGGCCUUAGGGUUGUAAAGCUCUUUUACCAGGGAUGAUAAUGACAGUACCUGGAGAAUAAGCUCCGGCUAACUCCGUGCCAGCCGCCGCCGUAA